rnacentral:rRNA from 1 species
ACAUGCAAGUCGAACGCGAAAGCCCCGCAAGGGGUAAGUAGAGUGGCAAACGGGUGAGUAACACGUGGGUGAUCUGCCUCAGAGUGGGGGAUAACGACCCGAAAGGGUCGCUAAUACCGCAUAACAUCCUGCCUUUGGAUAGGUGGAGAUCAAAGCCGGGGAUCCGCAAGGACCAGGCGCUUAGAGAGGAGCCCGCGGCCGAUUAGCUAGUUGGUGAGGUAACGGCUCACCAAGGCGACGAUCGGUAUCCGGCCUGAGAGGGCGGACGGACACACUGGGACUGAGACACGGCCCAGACUCCUACGGGAGGCAGCAGUGGGGAAUUGUUCGCAAUGGGCGCAAGCCUGACGACGCAACGCCGCGUGGAGGACGAAGAUCUUCGGGUCGUAAACUCCUUUCGAUCGGGAAGAAUGGCUUCCGGGUUAACAGCCCGGAAGAGUGACGGUACCGAGAGAAGAAGCCCCGGCUAACUCUGUGCCAGCAGCCGCGGUAAUACAGGGGGGGCAAGCGUUGUUCGGAAUUACUGGGCGUAAAGGGCUCGUAGGCGGCCAACUAAGUCCGACGUGAAAUCCCAAGGCUUAACCUUGGAACUGCGUCGGAUACUGGUUGGCUUGAAUUCGGGAGAGGGAUGCAGAAUUCCAGGUGUAGCGGUGAAAUGCGUAGAUAUCUGGAGGAAUACCGGUGGCGAAGGCGGCAUCCUGGACCGACAUUGACGCUGAGGAGCGAAAGCUAGGGGAGCAAACGGGAUUAGAUACCCCGGUAGUCCUAGCCCUAAACGAUGAAUGUUUGGUGUGGCGGGUAUCGAUCCCUGCCGUGCCGAAGCUAACGCAUUAAACAUUCCGCCUGGGGAGUACGGUCGCAAGGCUG